GCCAGAUUCUCUGGGUGCUUUCUUCUUUCUUAGUUCCCCCUUUAUUGUGGGCCCUCCUCAGUGCCAACAUUGCUUUGUCUCUCGCUGGAGAAGCCUGUGAGAACGAGGAUGGGCAAAGUGUCAGGCUCUUGGUGCAGCUGAAAAUCCUUUGAGAUGGAAGAAAUGGCUGGAACAAAGGGGCAGAGGAACAAAAAGCCCUGAACUGCUUCGCCCCUGCCUCGUGGGGUCUUUAUCAUCUUAAACCUUGGGAUUUGGGCUUUGAUCAACUCGGCCUUCCUGGGCCUCGGGGAGAGAGACGGACUGCCUCCGGGUGCUCAUGACCUUUCCAGCAGUAAGCCAAUAAUGUAUGACUCCUGCGUUGCCGUUGCUCGUUUGAGGAACAUCUGUCCAGUCCCUGGGAUGGUGAGGCUAUAACCACAAAGGAAUAAGAGAAGACGACUAGUUUUGUAAUGGGGACAUUGGCUGCUGUCUUCUGACCCACCCUGUGUGGCUUUGGCGUCUCCUGUGACCUCCCAGUAUGGGUCUUGGCCUCAUCCUGCCUCUUUGUCUUUCUGGCCCACCACCCACAGCUUGAAUCUCAGGCUCCAACAGUUGCCUGACCCCCAGAUUCUGAUGACAGCCUACCUACUUGUUCUUCAGGCCCUCACCAGACUCACUGCCCAGACACACCACACAGGAGAACAUGAAAGGGUGAAUGAAUCUUUCAUCAUUUGAUGACCAAGUUGGCAUUCUUUUACAUUCCAGCCACCAGAGGAAGGUGUAUUUUAACACAAUUGCCCUCACAUCCUCCUUAACAGGAUUUACAUAAGUUUAUUAACACAUAUGUUUCUACAAAAUCAAGUUUUGAGAACCAUUUUUAUACACUGAUCUGGGACAUUUUGGGGAUAUGAAAUUAACUUUAGCACACACAGCAAGAAGAAAACCGAACAACAAAUUCUACAAACACCAAAUUUGCUGUGAAAUUUACAUUUCAGAAUCUCUCAAGAAAUAGUGCCCAGCAGCAAUUCUUACUGUUUUCACUUUUUCCCCCGUCUUCACAUUUUUAUGUUUGACAGUGCCAACAUAUUUUCUCAACAUUUAUUCUGAAAGGAAUGUACUUUGUGAAUUCCUUAAAUGCAGGAUGAUUCUGAUUUUAUUGGCCUAAUAGCUCCUCCUUAUGCGUGGGUUAGUAUAACAGAAUGCAUUUGAGACCUGCUAUACUAUUUUAAAUUAAGACAUUUCAUGUAGCACAUAGUAUUUUAAAAUGAAGAACAUUGUCUUGGAAAGCACACAGGCUAACUGCUAUUUUCUUGAUGCAAGAAAUAUUUAAAUUCUCUGUGCUUCAGUCUAUACAAUCAGUUUUCCAGGGAUGCUGUGUAUAUAAAACGAGGGAGUGUAUUAAGAGUAUCAGCAUGUAGUAGGUCCUUCAACAGAAGCUGGAGGUUCUGGCUCAAGGUCUGGCUUGUGUUCAAUGAACACCAAACCACAUAAUUGCCC
rnacentral:lncRNA from 1 species